rnacentral:tRNA from 1 species
UUGACUAAAGCCAAAUAAGAGGCUAAUCAUUGUUACUGAUUUAAUUGGAAGUCCCUAGUCGUU